UGCAAGUCGAACGAACUUUGACGAGUAGCAAUAUUUGUCAAAGAGAGUGGCGUAAGGGUGAGUAAUACGUAGGUAAUCUGCCUCCUAGAUGGGCACAACCUGGCGAAAGCCGGGCUAAUUCCCAAUGUGGCAGCUCCGGGCAUCCGGGGCAAUCUGAAGCCGGGGACCGCAAGGCCUGGCACUAGGAGAUGAGCCUGCGCCCUAUCAGCUUGUUGGUGAGGUAAUGGCUCACCAAGGCUUACGGGUAGCUGGUCUGAGAGGACGAUCAGCCACACUGGGACUGAGACACUGCCCAGACUCCUACGGGAGGCUGCAGUCGAGAAUCUUUCGCAAUGGGGGAAACCCUGACGAAGCGACGCCGCGUGCAGGAUGAAAGCCUUCGGGUUGUAAACUGCUGUCUUUCGGGAGCAAGGAACCUGGGUGAACAACCCUGGAACUUGAUAGUACCGGAGGAGGAAGCCACGGCUAACUCUGUGCCAGCAGCCGCGGUAAUACAGAGGUGGCAAGCGUUGUUCGGAUUUACUGGGCGUAAAGGGUGCGUAGGCGGUUCUGUGUGUCGGGUGUGAAAUCCCACGGAUUAUCCGUGGAACGGCAUUCGAAACUACAGGGCUAGAGUGCGGGAGAGGAAGGUAGAAUUCUCGGUGUAGCGGUGAAAUGCGUUGAUAUCGAGAGGAAUGCCGGUGGUGAAGACGACCUUCUGGAACGCAACUGACGCUGAGGCACGAAAGCUAGGGGAGCAAACAGGAUUAGAUACCCUGGUAGUCCUAGCCGUAAACGGUGUGCACUUGAUGUAGGAGGAAUUAUCCCCUUCUGUGUCGUAGCUAACGCGAUAAGUGCACCGCCUGGGGAGUACGGUCGCAAGAUUAAAACUCAAAGGAAUUGACGGGGGCCCGCACAAGCGGUGGAGCAUGUGGCUUAAUUCGAUGCAACGCGAAGA
rnacentral:rRNA from 1 species